ACAAGGCCUCACUCCUACCUAACUCAGGGCUGCCUGUAUAAGCCCUGCAGUAGCUUAUCUUCCUGCCCAAACACUGUCCUGUAGAAUUCCCUCAAGGUCAGAAUUUAUUAUUUCUCUUUGUUAUCCACAUGCUGUGACUUCAGUGACAUCCUCUACAGGCAAGUGACCAGCAUCCAUUUGUCUGCAGUUGCACUUGGCUCUACCUCAUCAGCAUUUCCUUCAACUCUGUGACCACCUCUGCUGUUAAGCCUUCGAUUGGUAUUUUGCUGCUUUUCUCUUUUAAAUACUGGAAUUUAAUGAGACCAAAAUGCUGCAAAUAAGGAAGAGAGCAGAAACAGCAAAUGCAGAGGGAUCUUUUAUGACUAAGAACCUAUUUCCAGUAACCUGGGCACUGUUUCUAGUUGGCC